rnacentral:misc_RNA from 1 species
GUAGGUGAACCUGCGGAAGGAUCAUUAGUGAAUUUAGCGCAUCUGCUUGCAGAGCGUGACCCCCACUUUAAAACAUUGUGCACUUUUUGGCGGAAACGAUAGAAAAGAGGGAUGAACCUUGGUUCAAACUUUGAUUCCGAGUUUCUGCGGCUCACUUUUUAAACCCUAGUUAAAGUAUGUAUACGAAAUAUCGAAAAAAAUAAUAAAAAAACUUUCAACAACGGAUCUCUUGGCUCUC